UACGUAGGGACCGAGCGUUGUCCGGAUUCAUUGGGCGUAAAGAGCUCGUAGGCGGCUGUUCAAGUCGAACGUGAAAACUCGGAGCUCAACUCCGAGCCUGCGUUCGAUACUGGACGGCUAGAGUCUGGUAGGGGGAUCUGGAAUUCCUGGUGUAGCGGUGGAAUGCGCAGAUAUCAGGAGGAACACCGAUGGCGAAGGCAGCUUGCUGGGACGGUACUGACGCUGAGACGCGAAAGCGUGGGGAGCAAACAGG
rnacentral:rRNA from 1 species